UUGCGAAAAAAAUGACAUUAAGUUUAUUUUAAGAAGAAACUACAGAUGUUGCUGAUGACAAACCUGCGAAGAAAGGUUGGAAAUGCUUUGGACAUUCAAAGUGCGGGACCUGCUAUCGAAGUGAAUGUAAGCGAUCGUGCCGGCGAAAAGUAUGCAAAAUAGUUACUUGUGGCCGGAGGAUGGAAUGUCAUGCGCUGAGCGGGUACAGAGCUUGUGAGAUUGUACCUAAAACCUGCCCAAGAUGUCACAUUUUUCGUUACCCAUGUCGAAUGGUCUGCCGCAAUAAAUACGUCUACAAACCGUGCGUCAAACAUCACGGAUAAACUGCCCAUAACCUCGUAAAAUUAUACAUGGUGGAAUUACAGACAAUUGUAGUACUUUAUUAUUAUAGCAUUAUAAAGAUAUAGAAAGAUGACCACAAUCAUUGGA